rnacentral:rRNA from 1 species
UACGGAGGGGGCUAGCGUUGUCCGAAGUUACUGGGCGUAAAGCGCGCGUAGGCGGGUUGGUAAGUCCGCUGUGAAAGCCCGGAGCUUAACUCCGGAGGGUCGGUGGAUACUGCCAGUCUUGAAGGUGCUAGGGGGAGAUGGAAUUACCGGUGUAGCGGUGAAAUGCGUAGAUAUCUGGAGGAACACCGGUGGCGAAGGCGGCAUCCUGGACCGACACUGACACUGAGGAGCGAAAGCCAGGGGAGCAAACGGG